AGAAUUCUCAAUCGUAAUCCUUUGACAGCAGUUGAAGAUUCUUAUGUUUUUACAUUGCCAGCAUUAAAAUAUCUAGACAUGGGAACAACACAAGUGUCACAGCAAUUGAAAGCAUCGUCAUGAUGACCCUUGAAUUGGAAAAACUGAGAAAUCUCUUCGCUCCACGGAAGCUGUGAGUGGUGGCCUUCACGUAAAUCUGAGACUAAAGGACAACAGGAAGAGAGACACAGGAGGACAUGAGAAUCGCUGACGGAGAGAACCACGGGCAUCCACAUUCAAUCGCAAACAGAGAGUCUACAUUAGUCUCCAGCGAAGCUAAUGUCCACCAGGGUCUAGCCCCACUAACCUUGUCACCUGGUGAAGGAGACUGGAGGCAGCGAAACCCCCAUAGCCACUCUCACAGAAAUCAGGGAGAGCAUCCCUAACAGUCAAACUGAAAAUGGUCAUGAUAUGAAAGAAUAACAUACCCUUUCAGAAAACUGAAGACUGUUCUCUUGCUUCUCAAAAACUUACAAAUACUCUGUGUCCUUCUAGAAGCAUAUUGAAACCUUCAGCCUUAGACGGCAGUAAUGGGAGGGCAUCUGAGCUCAAAACCAUCCAACACUCACACCCUAAGGGUGCUGAGGAUGACCCGUGUCCACCCCUCGGCUGCUGUGGGGCCUGAAAUCCCCUAAUCACUGAGGACGACAGGGCCUCACAGACACUCCACUGGACCACCAAGGGCUUGGCUGGUGGGCUAAAAUCCUUUAUUAAAUACAUGCUUUGCGAACAUCUUCGCCAUUUUCGAUAAUGGAUUAUCUUAUUCCUUGCUCCUUUUAUACACAACUGUUUUUCAUUUUCAAAAGUCCAAUUCAUCUAUUUUGUCUUUUGUUCCUUCUGCUUUUUGUAGAUCUACAAAAUCAUGAUCAAAUCCGAGGUCAUGAACACGGACUCUCAUGUUUUCUUCUACGAGUUUUAUAAUUUUGCUUCUGCCAUAUAGACCUUUCGUCCAUUUUCGGUUCAUUUUGCAUAUGGCAGAAGGGUAGGUAAGGUUCCAACUUUACUCUUCUGCAUGUGGCUAUCCAGUUGUUCCAGAACCUGUGCUCACACUUUGGGAGAAAAUACCUGCAAAUAAUGUGAUCAACAAGAGCUUACUUCUAAAAUACACAAACAGCUCAUACAACUCAAAGAACAAAAAAAAUCAAAAAAUAUACACAAUUUUAGAAAGUCUAACUACACAUUUCUCC